rnacentral:lncRNA from 1 species
UUAAUCCAUUCUAAUGCGCACAACAAACUAGUGCUUAAGCCUCCACCGAGAGUAGACAAGCCGGCGUUUAGCCUUUAGAACACGAUCUAAAAAAGUCUUUCACUAAAAGACACCAACCAAUCAUAGUUCCCCGAACUACGAACGCUCUGAUUUCCUUAUUACACCAUAAGGAUACGUAGGCAGGAGAUUGCUGUAUCUUCGCGAGCACACUAAUAAAAAACCUCCCCUUUCCCUUUAUG